rnacentral:rRNA from 1 species
UACAGAGGUCUCAAGCGUUGUUCGGAUUCAUUGGGCGUAAAGGGUGCGUAGGUGGCGCUGUAAGUCGGGUGUGAAAUUCGGAGCUUAACUCCGAAACUGCAUUCGAUACUGGCGUGCUUGAGGACUGGAGAGGAGACUGGAAUUCAUGGUGGUAGCAGUGAAAUGGCGUAGAGAUCAUGAGGAAGACCAGUGGCGAAGGCGGGUCUCCUGGACGAGUUCCUGACACUGGAGACAC